CAAAGCCAGUGCAGCUGCCCGCGUAGCCGGCCCCGGGGGCAGCCGGGGCGGUCCUACCUGGGAGCGCAUCCCGCAUCCUUCAUCCCGCAUCCGGCACCCCGCGGGCGCUCAGGUGCAAGCCCUGACUGUAGCCAGUGUGAUUAUAAUCAACAAACACCUGGUAGACUCCUCAUUCUAACAAGCAAGCUUGGACAAGUUAUUAAAAUGGAAAUGAAGGUCCUUUUCCCUUUUGGCUGGGCAGAAGUCAAGAGAGUACCAGGAAGGAGUAGCAACUGACAAAAGGGUGAAGACAAUUAAGACUGAGUGACAAUCUCCUGGCAAUACCAGUCACCAGCCUGGCAUAGAGCCACACCUCCACCACAGCAUAUCCCAUCAUUCAUUGUUUGACAUAAAGUUUUUGUAUAUUCUAAUGGUCCAAGUUCCUUUUCUAUAGAUAAACUUAAACCAUUGAGAGGUCUCUUUCUGAUCCAUCAACAGAAGUUUUAUACUGAUCCAUAAGUAGUCAUUUAGCCAAAAAGAAUUCCCUCUGUGACAUACCUGAAUGUGGUCCUUUAGCCUUUGCAUGAAGACUUCCAUGGAACUAUUUGCAUCUCAAAUCAACAAAUGUUACAAAUCAGGGCUUGAAUUAUUGUGUUGAUUGUCUAGGAUUAAGAAAGUGAUGGUGAAAAUAAAUGUUUAUAAUGCAGAUUACAUUUAGAAAUGUGUUAUGCAUUUUUUUUUCUUUAGAGAGCUGAUUCUUAAACAUUUAUCAACCCACUCCUAGAGGGAACAUACUAUUUCCCAGAGCAGCCCAUCGCACUCUGAAAAAACUUGAAUUGUUCAGAGUUUGCCAUGGAUCCGAUUUAAAUCUGUAUCUCUGAAACGCUGUCCUCCCUCCUUUCACUCUCUACAGUGUUCUGAGAUCUGGACUCUGGGGAACAGGAACAAUAUCUUCUAAUAGUAAACCCUCUUCUAUAUAAUGACCUUUCUAAUUGAUAAUAUGACCUCCAACCAAGUCUUUUUUUUUCUUUUGGCUAAAUAAGGGCCUUCAUUGUUUUGGUUGCCCUCCUUUGCAUGUUCUGGCUUAUCAGUGUCCAUCUCCUUAAACAAAUCACCCCAAACCUUUCUUCUAGUUACUUCAUCACUCAUUCUAGUCAAUCACUCAUUCCUACUGGUCAUUUUCUCUCUGGAGAGUAUCUAUGUGGCUCCAUCAUGCAUAGAGCAAUGGGCUUAGAAUUAGGAAAACACAUCUCCCUAAAUUCAAGAAACUACCAAACAAUAACAACCAGUGUUCUGCUGGAGGAUGGAGGAAGUACGUAUUUGAUUAUUGAAUAGUUCCCUCAUUGUAAGAAUGGGACAGUGCCCUCUAAAGGACCCAACAAUCAGCCAGCUCCCUGCGCUGUAUCCAAGAUCUUUGUCUUUUGAAAACCCAUUCUUCAGGCUUCUGUGUGGUAUCUCUCAUUCUUAUGUAAACACUCACCAGUGACAUCUGGAGUCCCAGGUAAGCAAGGCUAGUUAGUGGUGUAUUAACUUCCUACCCAAACAAUGUUGAUUUUUGACACUCUCUGUUAGACUGACAACUGUAUAAGAGAGACUUUCUGAUCAUGAGCCUAGGAAAAGGAAGGGCUGGAGGAUUUCAGACUCAUCAAUCUUCCACAGAAGGAACCGGCAGAUGGGGCCCACUGAGAUACACAUCUUCUGUUACGUACAAAAGCCAAUCUAGCAAAACUACCAUUCAUAACCAAAUGGUGACUAUGGCUUUCAACCAGAUGGUUUCACUUCUCUCAGGGGGACCAUGCCAGGCAACUGAUGAACCAUAUUAUCUGGGACUUGGCAAGUGAUCAGAGCGACAUUUUGCCUGUGAUUGGGAGUACAAAUAUUCCUUUCUGUGCUCUAUGGAGGAAAUUCAUCAUGUGAGCAACAGUACCAGCAAUGACAGUUCCAAUCCAAUGCAGAAUGUGACCAAUAAAAUCUCUCCAUUAAGUUGCAUAGUGGGGAUGAAUCUUAGGAACAUGGGUGUACUGGUCACGGCAGCAGUUGAAUAUUAGCUAGAGUUUCUAAGUUACAUUUGGUAUGACUCCAGAUUCUGUCCACAAGGAUAUGGGAUUGUUUCCAAUGACAAAAUUAUUAAUGAUAUACCUACUCUGCUAGAGCUUUUCCCAAAAAUAUGCCUCUACUUGUCAGUGCUUAACAAUGUCUUUUUGCAGUAGAUAAUUGUUAGCUGCUAGAUUAAGAACUAACCCCCACCCCAUUUUACAGAAGUGGAAACUGAGCUCAGGGUGAUUAAGUGACUUUUCCCAGAGCACAUGAGUAGUCAAUAGAAGAGGCAGGAUUGGAGACCAGCUCCUCUGAUUCUAAAUAUAACUUUCUCUCUGGUGUACCACAGCUGUCCUUGUAUCACACAAACUGUUUUUAGAAAGAUAACAAUUGCAUUUCCAUCAAUCAUGCUUUUUAAAAAACUAGUUCCAUUUAUAAGCUUUUUUAAAUGACCUUCAGGCUGCCUUAUGAAAUCAACACCAAUCUUUUCACUACCAUUUUGUUCUUCCAGUAAUGGUGCCAGGUCACAAAUCAUAGCAUCCUCUGGUUCCUAAAGAAUCGAGGUUGAGGAUCACCCAAAGGGCAAUGAAAAGAUGAAUGGUGAUUAUGAAAAGAAUUGCACAUGACAUAUGGUGUAAAAUCCAUGGUGCAUUUAUGGACAAAUAUGCAUUGGACAGAUUGCAAUCUGUAUCAUUAGACAAAGUACUCAGGCAGAUGAGAUUACAGAGCCAUCAUAUGGAAGACUAGAUGUUAUCUGAACAACUUAACUAUUUUUAAUGACAAUAUUUCUAAGCUAGAUGUUGAGGACCUCUUUUUAAUAUUUUCUUUGUUUCCACUACCUUGGUUUCUUUUUUUGUUUUUUUAAGAAUUUCAUCAUUAAAAGCUACUAAAAGCCAUUCCAUUUGCUUCUCCAAGCACUUAUUUAAUGUGCCAGCUUUAUACCAGGAACUAUUCCAGGUGGUAGGAUGGAUGUUGGGAGUUUGAAUAUUGGACUCAGUCUGAUUAUUCAGUCUUCAAGAGCAAUUUUGUCAAAUACUAUGUGCCCAGUGGAAAUUGUGCUCAACAAAGUAUAUCUGGGUGUUGAACGUCCACUUUGGGCAACAGAGCUGUUGUUUCUUAAAAAUCACAAAGGAUUUCCAUUAUUUUUAAAGAAAUAUGAAGAAUCCUUUUAAAAUGAAUGGGAAUAUAUGUUUUCAAUUCUAAUUAACUUGUACAGUUUAUAUUCAAUAAAAAGCACUAAUCAUAUGUGGAUAAUAAUAUCAUAUAAUCAUAAUCUCAAUGAUCAUGGAAAAAUUAGUUCUCCUAAUUUGUUUCCUAUCUAUAAAAUGAAAGUACUAAACUACAAAUGAUCUCUUAGUUUACCUUCAUCUCUUAUGUGUUUUCUGAGUCCCUCUGUUCUCAUCUGCAAAAUGGAAAUAAUAAUAAUUCUUCCACCAUUUAUCUCAUAUGGUGGUUGUGAGAAAGUCUUUGUAAAUCUUGAAGCACUAUGGAAAUGUGUGGAGGAUGAUGGACAAUAACUGGAAAAAAGGAGGAAGAGGAUGAUUUGUGAUUGUUAUGCUGGAGAAGGAAACGAGAUAGUAGCCUUGAAAUCAGGAAGUCCUGGGUUCAAAUCUCAAUUCUAACAUGAACUCUCUUAUAUGAACCUGGGUAAAUUGCUGAACUCCUCGUGUUACCAAACAAUUCUCUAAUGAUAUAAAUUACAGGUAAAUCUCCAAUUUGUAUCUAUGAAGGAAAUUUCCAUCCAGCAAAUUCCCAUGUGAUAAAAUCCUAGCCCAAAGAAAUGACAAAAGUAUGUUUACUGAAAUCUAGAGACUACCCAGAUUUAAUUCUCAAAGCCAAAGCAAAUCUGAAAAGAAAAGCGAAAUCAGUUACAAUUUGAGAAAGCAACUUAAGAAAGAACUCGAUUUUCAGUAUAUGAAAUAUAUUCCUCUGAAAAGUUCAGUGUUGAUUCUUCUGCCAAGACAAUUCUUACAAUGUAUAAAAAUUAGAUAAUGCAUCCAGUGUUGGAUGAUCUCAGCAUCCCAGGACACACCACAGUGACAAAAAGGUUUCUUCAUCCAUCCACCCCACCCUCAGCUCAUCUUUUGCUUAACAGUCAGAAAGCUAUCUCAAAAAGAUAGCUGGAUCUCUCAGAAAGAUAAAAUGUGCUCUCAUCUUGAAUAUCUCUUAUUUUUUCCCUUGAAUUAAAGAUAAGUGUCUAGAGAAAUUAUACAAGGUCUCUUGGGGGAACUAUGAUAUAGGAUUACAAAAGCCAAAAUUAAGGGAACAUGAAAGCCCUAGAGGGUUCUGAAAAUAAAGAUUGAAGUAAAUUGUUAAAUAAAAAGAACUGGGGAUUAUUCAAUCAAUCAAGCUGAUUUGUGAAGGGUUGAGAAUUCAGAAUCUACUUGAGUCUUAAUUUCCUCAUCUGUAAAUUAGCUGAAAUAAGGUCUGAGGUCUUCCAGAGAUAAAAUUUAUGAGCAUAACCAUAACCAAUAGUCUAUUAUCUCCACUGAGCAGAGAAUGAAGAAAAGUAGUCCAAAUUAUACCUAAUUUAGGAGAGAUUUAAAUGAGAGAUUUAGAAGAACUUUUGAAAGAAAGAAUAGUAACUCAUUCCAAUCUUUGGAAACAGGAAAGGUUCUAAAACCUUAAGGUACACAUCUGAGUAAGGUUUUUGAUUCAAACUGCAGCAACUGGGGCUAGAACUAUAUGGUAACAGAAGGAUGUAGCCAGUGUCUGGCACCAUUUAUUUGUACAUAUUUAAAAGGUUCUGAGCCCAUCUGUGGCCAUGCUAUCUUGUGCCCAUAAAAACAGAAACCACUUUAUAAGUAUAUUCAAUGUCAAAUACUUGAUAUAAAAGUGCAAAUUAUUUAACCAAUGCUUGAAUCAGGGUUUACAAGUUCCUGUAGGACAUUUGUUCCUCCCAAAUAUUUUCCAGAACCAGUUAAAAGUUGGUAUAGAUCUCAUGAGCAAUUGGAUACUUGGAAAUAGAUCUGGGCAUUAGUUAACAAGUAGCUACAUGCAAGUUACUAAUAUACUUUCUAUGAUGCUGAAAUCUUAUUCUAGAUAAAGGGCCUUAGGAGAAUCAUGAGAUAAUUUAAGAGGGUUUUUAAAUGUUAAAUCACCUUUGAAUCUUUACCCUUAGAGCUCAUCAUGGGGGUGACUAUUAUGCUAAGACAAGGGAAGUAGUAUAGACACUUUAGCAAAAGCCGCCAAGUUGGGAAAACUUUCUUUGUCAUUUUUAUUAUAUUAGUUCAGCCUAUCCAU